rnacentral:tRNA from 2 species
CUUAGCUCAGCUGGUAGAGCAAAUGACUCUUAAUCAUUGGGUCAAAGGUUCGAAUCCUUUAG